AUGUUUUUUUUCCCGAAAUGUCAGUCAGAGCACGCAAGCAGCGUUUGACAGCGUUUGACAGCGGGGUGAAUUACGCGGAACUACCCUGUGGUACUCUGCACACGUUGAAUGUUCCGCAGUUCCGCGAAGGGGGGUUCAGUUGAAGUUGUGCAGUGUGAUUAGCCAGUUUGUAGUGGAAGACAACCUUGACCAGGCUCAAGUGUGACCGUUAGAUUAUUUUGAAAAACUAUCCCCUCGACUUCGAGUUCCUGAUAGCCAGCGGAGGCAGUGAAGAAAUUAUCGGAAGAAAUCAGUAACAAAAUGGCGUACGACCAAUAUCGCCGCGUUCAUGAUGUUCUGCACGGAAACAACGCAAUACUGGAAUAUAUUGCAAACGAACGGCUACGUGACCCGAACGCCGAAACCCUUUACUGGACUGGGCUGGUGGCACGCAAUUUGCUCUCCCUGUCCGGUUUGGCCGAUGCUGUUCCGUUUGACGGUCGUCCAGGGGCGGAACGGACCCGUUAUCGUCGACCACGCCGUCCAUCGCCAGGAUACGGCUGUCAACCAGGCUGGGUACUGUACCGCCAGCCCCCACCACCGCUGGUGCACCAUGUGCUCCAGAUAUACACGCUGGGCGAUGUGUACUACCAGCCAUGGUUUGAACUGCCGAGACUGUCGCGGACGUAUUCAUAUUCGAGCAUUCCCUUUGGGAUUGGGACAACUUUUCCACGUGCUGGUUCGUUAAAUCGCAAUGUUGGAAAUUGUGCACAGGCUGUAGCAUUGAAUCUUGCAGCAGACAGACGUGCGAAUUCCGCUAAUGCUCCGCAGGUGACCCAAACUGAGGAGCUCGUCAACCGGAUGUAAUGGCGAUUCUAAGCAACGGUGACUUUCUUCAAACUAUUCUUUCGCGUCGCCAAAAAAGGCCUUCCCUUCAUCGGACAGUUGAAACGUUCAAACUCUCGCUGCACCAGCUCCGUCUUGUUGCCCACCAUGUCGAUCAGGUUGUUCCAGUAGCUGUUCGCCGCGAUCGCGUGUCCCCGUUGGCUGAAGUGGAAACAAUCGACCGAUACGAUGCCAGCAUCCGUAUCCCCGUUCUGGAGUGUGGGCAGUGUCAGCUGCUCCGGAAACGGUUGAAAGUUCACGACGAAGUCGGUCGCAUUGUUGAACUCCUCCCGCUCGGCCACGGACUGCUGUAUCCGGUUCCACUGGUGUAUGAUGUACUCUAGGCGUGGUUGGAACGAUGCAUAUCUGGUACCGAACACACAAGGACACUCGAAGGCGUGCGUAGUGACGCAUGAUGCAGGGCGUGGAGUGAACGUUCUCAAUACGGUAACAUCUGGUGGUGGAGGAGAUGAAGGACGGAAGAACAAUAGGAUAUAAGACAUUGUCGGGAUGACCAGGCAACCCCAAGUAAACUUACCAAUUGUGGCAACAAUAUUAACCAUCGCUCGCGGUAGAUACUUGCGAAGCAGUCGCAACGUUGCGAGCAAAUUUUGCUCAUGCUGGUAGAGCGCUUUCUCAGGCUUGGGCAGGAAGCAGAUCCGGCUGCAGAAAUCGUUAUGCCCCAUGAAAAUAGUUAUAAGUUUCCAGUCUUUCUUGAUGCUAACCGAGCGGUCCGCUUUCAUGCGUUUGAUAAGAUUUCGUGCCUGAUGCGGCAAAUCCUGGCUCAUUCCAGCAAUCUCAGCGACAUCAAAUCUAAAGUUUUAAAACAAAGGCAACAUUAUCAAAAAUGUACAUUCGCACAGUUCCAAAGAGUAACCAAAAGCUACCUCGACGCCCUGUCAAUCGAUAGACUGUCCGCAACGACAUAGCCAUUUAGGUUAGGAUUGAACACCUUCAGAAUGUUCGGGAGCGUUAGAUACUGACGCCAGGUGCCCUGUCCACCGAUGCACCACGAUAGGCCUCGAUUUUCGAUGAUCAGCUCAAGGAUGCCGGUCGCAAGUACGCCCGUGCCGGCCGUUAGGGAAUCGCCGAGGGCUGCCACUACAUCGAUAUCGCCCGGGCGUAGUUCGUGGACAGAGGUAGGAACCCUUGGACUGCGCAUACCCUCGGUAGGACAAGGAAACGGUUGAUCGGGUGGAAUGGGGAAUUGAAUUUUCUACAGUACAAAGGUUAGAAGGCAUUAAUUAGUAUAAUAUUCGAUUGUGUAGCCAUUUCCAUUGCCAUUUCCGUACCCCUUGCGAGCGUGCCUGUUUCAAUCGUUCCGGAUUUUCACUGUUUGGACCGACAUUGUUGAAGAACAGCUUGUGCAGGUUACGGUAAACUGUUAUGAUCGGUUGAUCAUCUAGAAAGGACACUUCUUCUUGCGCGAGUGUAGCACUUUGAGUGUUUAGCAGUAGGCACAGCGAUAGAAAUAGCGCAAACCCGUACAUAUUGGUACUGGUAGAACAAACAUAAACACAAACGUUCCUUAGCUAUUGAAUUGGCAGUGUCAAACAUAAAAUGAAUUCAAGCUAUAUUAUAUACAAUAUAAAAUGCUAAUAAUAUACUUACUUUUUCUGAAGGUUCGCUCAAACAAACCAUACGCCACUGCUACGUUGGAAGUGCGUCUGCAGCAACGAGAAUAGAAACUGAGAAAAAAGAUUGUCUGUCACGUAUUUUGUACGGUUACGGUCUACGUUUCUUCAGUUUGCGAGAUGAAUUGGAUUUGAAGUUGGUUGAAAACGAAGCCGUGGUUUUAUAGCAUUUGUUCACCGAGCGCAACAAGGACGAUAAAUGAGGUAUCAUUAAAUUCAUGAUUCAUAACCAUUCGCAUUCGUUUGAUGCACAACCGUGGAUGGUCAAUUAUUUGCAUUUGUUGCUCACACCUUUUAAAAUUACAGUCAGCAGGCAAGUUAUCCAAUAGCAAAAGCUACCACAUUAUUAUAAGAUCUAUCUUAGAACAUUGAAGGUACAGUGUAACUAGGAUAAGAGAGAAUCUCAGGGACAAGGAACAGUUUUUAUCGCUUUUACUAGGUCUCUUGAUUAGACCUAGUUCUAUACUUAAAGGUGUAGGUUUUUCAUUGCAUAGUAUAUGCUUGCUGACAGGCCAGCUCUGUUCACUUAUGGGGUCUUACACUAAUCUAAAGAACUGUAGGUGUACUAAUACACAUACAUUUGCAUCGGAAGCUAUGCAUCUCAAGUAGUAUCAACGAAAGAGAGAGAGAGAAUCAAAAAAGGAUAAAAAAGCUACUUUUGUUACAGAUAUUACAAGAUUCGUUGUGUUCUAUCCUGCCUAGCCUACCUGUCCAUCGGAAAAUUUAUUUUUUUAAUAGUAGAAAGGAUAGAUAAUAGAUUAUAUUCCUCCAAAAAUCAAGCAGCGCUCCCUAAUCGCGAUCAGCACACGCGCUCCUGACAGGUUUAUGUUACAUUUAGAUAGAAAACAUUAUUUUGGUGUUUAUUGGUCUUUGCUUUCAAUUCAUCUAGUUUUUCAAGAAACCAUUCUUCGCUAUCACACGGAGUAUGCUAGCGAUUGGAUAAUCGAACCAACGUACUCAAGACGCACCAUUGCUCCAACCACAUUGCUUUAUUGUGUGGCCUUCCAUUAGUGGAUGAGCUAUUGUGAUGGGAUACGCUGCAUUAUGGGAUGGUUAAGCUACCUUAGACUCUGAAUUCGACAAAUACUGUAUCAAGGCAUCGUUGGAUGGCGCACUAUUCGUGCACGGCAUACCCUAUAAACAAUAACACCAGCUUUUAGUGAUCCUGGCAGCUAUAGGACUAAUAUCAAGAAACCAAAAGCGACAGAUACUGAGCAAGAUUGUUGUACUGAUUAGGGGUAGCUUAAAAUGAAUUUUGAAAAAUUAUAUAUUUUAAUUAAUCGUUAAAAUCGAAUACACGGCCGAAACCGUAAUAAUAUGCAUUUAAAUUAAUCGUUAAAAUUCUAAUCAUGACAAGAAAAAAGUUAAAAGGAAAUAGCAAAAAGUCUUUCGUACUUGGACGAUCAAAACUCAUGCUUAGCAAAACGUAGUCCUUUUUUUUAAUUAAAAAAAGAAAAUAUGGAACAUAUUCACUGCUAAAACCAUUCUUCGGUGGUCAAGCAAAACCGCCCGCGUUGGUUGUUGAGAGAUCAAUGAAGGAUAAUUUUAUUCAAAUUUAUAUUUUUCAAUAUUUUAGGACGAAAUUCAAAAUGUAAUAAUAGCAUGAAACAAUCAAACCAUGUUUUGAGCGUUAAAAAAAAAUAUACGCUACGUCUUGGUCUUGAACAAUAAUUCUUCUUGGAUAACUCUGCCCUCGAACAUGUAAAAGCAUAUGUAAAGCAUAUACCUAACCAGUCAUGCAAGUUUUAUACUCUUAUAACAUUCAAGAUUGCCUAAAACAGGACUAUCUUUCUUCAUUAACAAAGAUCAUGCAAUAAAAUACAGCGAUUGAAAAAUCUUA